UGAGGAAUAUUGGGCAAUGGGCGCAAGCCUGACCCAGCCAUGCCGCGUGAAGGAUGAAUGCCCUAUGGGUUGUAAACUUCUUUUUUACGGGAAGAAACUCCUGAACGUGUUCGGGAUUGACGGUACCGUAUGAAUAAGCAUCGGCUAACUCCGUGCCAGCAGCCGCGGUAAUACGGAGGAUGCAAGCGUUAUCCGGAUUUAUUGGGUUUAAAGGGUGCGUAGGCGGGAUAAUAAGUCAGUGGUGAAAGCCUGUAGCUUAACUAUAGAAUUGCCAUUGAUACUGUUGUCCUUGAGUACAGUUGAGGUAGGCGGAAUGUGUAAUGUAGCGGUGAAAUGCUUAGAUAUUACACAGAAUAUCGAUUGCGAAGGCAGCUCACAAAGCCAUUAUUGACGCUGAGGCACGAAAGUGUGGGGAUCAAACA
rnacentral:rRNA from 1 species